UGGGGAAUAUUGGACAAUGGGCGCAAGCCUGAUCCAGCCAUGCCGCGUGAGUGAUGAAGGCCCUAGGGUUGUAAAGCUCUUUCACCGGUGAAGAUAAUGACGGUAACCGGAGAAGAAGCCCCGGCUAACUUCGUGCCAGCAGCCGCGGUAAUACGAAGGGGGCUAGCGUUGUUCGGAUUUACUGGGCGUAAAGCGCACGUAGGCGGACUUUUAAGUCAGGGGUGAAAUCCCGGGGCUCAACCCCGGGACUGCCUUUGAUACUGGAAGUCUUGAGUAUGGUAGAGGUGGGUGGAAUUCCGAGUGGAGAGGUGAAAUUCGUAGAUAUUCGGAGGAACACCAGUGGUGAAGGCGGCUCACUGGAACAUUGAUGACGCUGAGGUGCGAAGGCGUGGGGAGCAAACAGG
rnacentral:rRNA from 1 species